rnacentral:misc_RNA from 1 species
GUUGGUGAACCAGCGGAGGGAUCAUUAAAGAGUUGCAAAACUCCCAAACCAUUGUGAACAUACCUUCAACGUUGCUUCGGCGGGUUGGCCCCGGUCUCCGGGGUCCCCGGCCCUACUCGGGUGCCCGCCGGCGUACCAAAACUCUUUUGUAUUUUAGUGGCCUCUCUGAGAAAACAAGCAAAUAAGUUAAAACUUUCAACAACGGAUCUCUUGGUUCUG